CUGCAAAAAAGAAAGAAAGAAAGAAAUGAAAUCCAGGUGGCAUGUGGGUGAAGGCGCCCUUCACGGAGACCAGGGGCAGCUACUGCUUCUACUAGCAGCAGGGACAGUGGCUCUUGACAGGCAGCAGCUGUGCUGAGAGCUCUCACCUGUCUAACGAAGCAGAAAAAUCAAUGAGAGGCCGUGGGGCCUCGCUGCACUCACUGCACUGAGCACCAGGAAUGUGCGGGCCGAGUGGCCAUCUGGAGCAGCUCCUGCUGCCUUGUUAAGUCCCAGGAGCCAGGCUGGGGAGAGACACAGGGCCGGAGUGGCCCCCUCUGUGGCGGCCCUCUCUUCCUGUCUUCCUUUCCAGGCCUUUCAGAACAUGGACCCCGCUCCUCCUGCUGCCCACGCCGGGAGAGACGCUCGCUGCAUCACCAAGGGGCUGUGCUGCACCUGUGAUCCAGGCAGGGGAGCCCUGGGUUUGGGAGCCAGGCAGAAGUGGGUUGAAACUGCGUAUGACUCUGGGGUCUUGCUUAGUUGCCUAGCCUAGGCUUGAACUUGCAAUCCUCCAGCCAUGUUCUCGGAGUAGCUUGGAAUACAGGCUUUUCAAGUCACUAUGCAAUGAUUAUCGAUACGCCAAGGACAGUAACAGUCAGAUACUGGAGAAAAGGAGAUAUGAGAAACAUCUUUUAUUUUUUCUAAAGAGGUGAAAAUAAGAAACACAGGACGAAAUGAUGCCUUCUGACUACAACUGUUUCCUGAUGGUUGAGCAACAGUCUCCCUCUGCUUCACUUGAAAGUACUCUCUUUAAUUUGCUGAAGAAUGGUGUAUUAACAGGAAAGCAGGACCAGAAAUGCCGAAGUAGUUCUCCAACAGCCACAUACAAGUGUUUCAAUUCAGACUGAAUAUCAUUUGGCACCAUCUCUGCAGAAGAAGGAAGAGGCCACAGGAACUCUACAAGGUCACAUACCAGAAAUGCUGCAGAAAUGCCAACAUCCUGCUUGUGAUUGGAUGUGGAAGAACUACCCGCUGCAUUCACAGUUAAACGAUUGGCCCAGAACUCCUCAGCACUUAUCACCUGACUCACAACAAGGUCUU